rnacentral:rRNA from 1 species
UACGAAGGGGGCUAGCGUUGUUCGGAAUUACUGGGCGUAAAGCGUGCGCAGGCGGCUUCUCAAGUCAGGGGUGAAAGCCCAGAGCUCAACUCUGGAACUGCCUUUGAGACUGAGAGGCUUGAGUACGGGAGAGGUGAGUGGAAUUCCCAGUGUAGAGGUGAAAUUCGUAGAUAUUGGGAAGAACACCGGUGGCGAAGGCGGCCAUCUGGACGGACACUGACGCUGAGGCGCGAAAGCGUGGGGAGCAAACAGG